rnacentral:lncRNA from 1 species
CCUUGUUGAGGCUACUGCCAAUAACAUGGUCUGCUUGAAAACAGAAUAUAUCGCUGAUUAUCUCAUGCUGGAAUCCCCUCCUUGUGCAGAUAAUUACCAUGUAUCCGAAGCUGCUUUAUUCCAUAAUAAGGAAGGUGGGCCUGGAUAACCACAGAAGAGGAAAACUCCUGCAGAAAAUGUUGUCAGAACCUGUAUUCUUAAGAGAUGUUUUCAGCAAUCUACAGUAAACUUCACAACUUGGAAAUGCAUUUUUCCAUGAGUGAAUCUAUGAAAGUUGUUUCAGAAUUUAAAGUUCAGUGACACAGUGGUGACUCCACCUGCCAUUGGCAACUUGUUACAGAAAACUUGAAAGAGGACUGGCAAGAUGUCUCAGCAGGUAAAGCUGUUUGCCACCCAAAUCUUACCUCUUGUAUUCCAUCACCAAAUUUAACUGUGACACAGAAGAACUAACUUCAGAGAGUUGACCUCUGAACUUCCCACUCAUGCUGCGGGUUUUGUGUGCCAACACUCACACACAUAGCUGCCUACUUCAGUCAAUGCCAGUGUGCUUUUAGAGCUAACAUCUUGCUACAUUUGUGAAGGUUUCUUUUGUUUGCUGCCUUGAAGUCUUC